GCCCCUCCGCGCCCUAUCCCUGGCCGGGCCGCCCGCCAGGCCGCCGUUUCCCGGAGCCGGCCCCCUCCCGCCCUCGCGGCCGGCUGAUGUCAUCUGCACACAACUUUCCGCUUCCCGGCCCGUCUCGGGGCCCUGAGUCAUCGCCGCCCCCGGCCCCGACGCUGGCCUGCGGCGUCUGUUUGUGCAGAGCGAGGCCCCGCCGGCCGGGCCUGACGUCAGGCUGGCAGGGCCUGGAACGGCCCCGCGCCGCUGCCCCCUGGGGGCAGGACAACACCGCUGGGGGCCGAGGGCAGGGCUCGCCCUCGGAAUCCGGCUUCGAAGCCGGCGCCACCUUGUGCCGGCCGCCUGACCUGAGGCAACUCUGUGCUUUCAACUCUCUGAACUUCGGUUUCCUCAUCUGCCAGUUGGCAGACGCUCAGCGAAUCUUCCUAGACUCACGGGGCGAAUUGUACAGUUGGGUAAAUCGAGGCCCAGAGAUGGGAAAAGGACUGUCCAAGGUCGUACAGCCACCCGGAAUUACAGUUCCUUUCUGCCGGGUCACACGCUGCCUUCCACGUGUUACCUAAGAAAGCUUUCCAGCCUGUGCUGAGAAAACCGCCCCACAUCAUCUGUGGCAGGACUGGGGGGCUGGAGCCCUGGUCAGGCCACUCUGCUUCUGGCCACAGUUUUCUCAUCUCUAAAAAGGCGCAGUAACAAUAUAAUGACCGUGUGGAGUCCCCCAGGAUACAGGGUCAAAGGAGAGCACAACCAUCGCAGUUUCAAGCCCAUGGGGCAGCCCAGUGCAGGUGCAUGUGACUCAUGAAACUUCAGUGACAUCUGCUCUGUGCCAGACACUGAAGAUGGAGCAGCGAACAGCACUGACCCAACCUGCCCUCCUGUUGCCUACAGGCCAGAAGCGAGGUCUCGCUGUGUUACCCGGGCUGGAGUGCAGUGGCUACUUACAGGCAUGAUCAUAGCACACUGCAGCCUCGAACUCCUGGACUAAAGCAGUUCUCCUGCCUCAGCCUCCAGAGCAGCUGGGACUGCAGACACGCACCACAGACAGAGUCCAGCCUGAGUCAUUCUGAUUCUGUAACUGGCUUCCUCUCGGUGAGCUGGCUCACACCCUCCACCCCCAGCUUGAGAAGGAAAGAGGAUGCUCACCGUUCAUUCCUCAUGCAGGCCAUCGAUGGAAAUGUCAGAUAGUGCGAGUCCACGCCUGAACACCUCUGGGGUCCGCUCUGGGACUGACACUGGCAGAUUCAUCGAUGAGCUCCCGCCUGCCACCUCUGGGCCUGCAUUGCGGUGAUAUGGCCAAGGGCCUGGGUCUUCAAUUCUCCAGACUUGCCGAAUGCACAGCGCAGGCCUCGUCGGCAACUGCAGACAAGCAGAGGCAGCACCUGGGCUCUGCCUGUGCCUGGUACAGUGAGGCGAGGGUGGGGGUAGGAAUGAGGGUCCUCUCCGUGCAAGGGGGGAAGAUAGAAGAACAAAAUUUCACCCUAAUGUAGUGUCUUUAGACCAUGAAAUGCUGUGCUCUUGUUAGUCUGAUAUCAGGUGCUUGCAGCCUGGCAAAGGAAAAGAAAAACAGGCUGAGGCACGUGAUAGAAGACAGGCAGGGAUGCCACAAUCAUAACCAUGGCAAAGACUAGGAUCAGACAGGCCCACCAUCUCUGACCCCAAAUCCCUGGGCAGAUGGUUCCAGAACUCAGAAUUUUCCCAGUUUUAGAAAGAUGGGGCCAGGUGCAGUGGCUCACACCUGUAAUCCCAGCACUUUGGGAGGACGAGGUGGGUGGAUCACCUGAGGUCAGGAGUUCGAGACCAGCCUGGCCAACAUGGUGAAACCCUGUUUCUACUAAAAAUGCAAAAAAAGACCAAAAAAAAAAAAAACAAAACAAAAAACAAAAAAAAAAACUUAGCCGGCUGUGGUGGUGCAUGCCUGUAAUCCCAGCUACUUGGGAGGCUGAGGCAGGAGAAUUCCGUGAACCCGGGAGGCGGAGGUUGCAGUGAGCCAAGAUCGAGCCACUGCACUCCAGUCCAGGCAACAGAGCAAGAGUCCAUUCCCCCUCC